rnacentral:sRNA from 1 species
AAAAGCAAAUACUAUGGGUGCCAAAUAACAACCAUUGCAGUGACUGCCUCGGCCUCCUUUUGUUCUGAGUCCUUUGACGUUUUGGAUACUUUUGGAUAUCAAACACCUUGCAACUGCAAGUUUUCAAAUGCAAGUUGACCAAAUAUUCGUUCCCUUCUACUCCCGGACAUUGUAUUCGAGCCGGAAUGUGUUUAGCUCUAUCA